CUGUGAAGCGACACCGCUGAAAACCACUCCUGAUCAUUCGCGCGUACUACAUUAUUUUUACCUUCGCAACUAGAGCGGCGAAACACGCAGGCGUUAUCAAACACGGCUUUGUCUAACUUUAAUUGAAAAUAUUGGAAUAAAUCUUCCAAUAGACAUUGUCGAGCGAACCAGUGGCUGUACAGGCACAGUGCGCCAAGAGAUAGGGGUGAGACCGAGGCUACGGGGGGGUUGGAGGGUUGAAAACAGGGCGACAGAGCAAGGAUGGGACGCGGGGCGGACGAAAGCGGGGUUGGAACGAGUAACUGGAUGGCCGAUGAGUGGAACAGGGACACGAACGUCAACGAGCGGGCCAGAAGAGGCAGCCGAUCGUCGACUGCUGGCGACAACGCCGCCGCUUUGGAAUUUGGAGCGUGGCAGAGCUACAUAGGUAGGCACGAGCAACGACGAUUAUCGGAGUCGAUCAUUCAAUUUUGCGCUGCAAAUUGUCCGCGCCGGAAACUCAUAUCCGGGCACUUCCGGUUCUCCCUGGUUCCGCCCCCGGGAAGAGGAAUCUGGCGAAAGGGCGGCCUCGCUGAAUGGCCCGGUUCAAGAGCGAGCUAGGGACCUGAACAACGUUGACAGACUGAAAGAGACAGAGAGAGAGAGAGAGAGAGAGAGAGAAAUGGGACGGAGAGAGAGCUCUCUCUCCUGGAGAGAAAGAGAGAAGUAGAGGAAAAGGAAAGGGUGGGAAAGAGAGAAAGAGAAGCCAGGGACAGACAGGAGAGAAUUGAGGAACGGAGAGGUCGCAGGUUGGAUAGACAGCAACAAGCACUAUUUCGAUUGAUUGCUCGUCGUCCUACUAGGGCUGUUCGCGUCAUUACCGAUCUUGCUGAGAAUGGAGCCUCACCUGUGCACUAUCCUGAUCCUCCAUUCUAUUGUUGCUGUUAUAAUCCUUUGUCGAAUGUUAUUCGUUCCUUCUCUAUGUGGAGGUGUUUACAUUCGAUAGACUACCAUGUAGAAAUUCCGUUUUGUUCUAUCAAUAGUCGCAUAUUCGAUGCUUUUAUCGUUAUUGUAUUUGUUUAUCGAAUGUUGCUAGCUUGUACACAUCCAUGUACUUGCUAUACGUAGGUAUUUAUAUUUGACAAAAUAAUCUGUGCACAAUUGUGUUAUCGUCAAGCAGGCGAUGUUCUAUGUAAAAUUACGUGACAGAAAGUUACAACGAAUUCAUCGUUCAUUGUUUUCCUUGAUUUUCGUGGUUUUCCUAACAUCGAGCGUGUCUAAUUCCGAUUCGUGCUUUUUCUAAUUCGAACGAAGGCAGGUUUCCGAAUUCUCGUUCCCCAGAGUACUGAUAAAAUUUGAUUAUUAAACUGGAAGCGCAUCUAAUCCACGCAUUACUAUUCAUCGCCACACCGCCGUCAAACUGACGAAUCUAGCGAAAUUAUUCUCGUCAAUCUGUACUCUAUUGGGAGCCGAAUUGGCGUGUGCACUGCUUUGCGGUCUCUUUGAUCCAUUCUCUUGCCUCUUUUCUUCUCGGUUCUUUUUCCGUGCAAUUUCAUCACGCAAAGCGACGGAAACCAGGAAAUAGCUAGCACGUUUACCUUUUUGCCCCAGGUCGUGAAU
rnacentral:misc_RNA from 1 species